UUCUGACCACAAAGAGGCUAUGAAACUAGCCUGGAAACAAGGCUAUGAAACUAUUCUGGAAUUACAGGGUGAUGGAGCACAUUCUGCUGUAGUCACUGCCAACCAGAGGAGCAGGGGAGGAACACCUGGCAGAAGAAAACUGUAUCUUGAGCAGUCACACUUUUGCUAAGAUGAUCACACGACGCCUUUGCCAAAGGCACUUCCUGCAAAGACCACAGCCAAAGUGGUGGGCUGAGAGACCUCCCCGUGCUUGAGGAGAAAAAGGAAGCAAAGAGAGAAGUGGGGAG